rnacentral:rRNA from 1 species
CACGCGGUAAACGGUGAACACUAGGUGUGGGAGGUGUAAUACCUUCUGUGCCGAAGCUAACGCGUUAAGUGUUCCGCCUGGGAAGUACGGCCGCAAGGUUGAAACUCAAAGGAAUUGACG